GACGAACGCUGGCGGCGUGCUUAACACAUGCAAGUCGAACGAUGAAGCUGGAGCUUGCUCCGGUGGAUUAGUGGCGAACGGGUGAGUAACACGUGAGCAAUCUGCCCUUGACUCUGGGAUAACUGCGGGAAACUGUAGCUAAUACCGGAUAGGACCCUUGCACGCAUGUGCUGGGGGUGGAAAGUUUUUCGGUCUGGGAUGGGCUCGCGGCCUAUCAGCUUGUUGGUGAGGUAGUGGCUCACCAAGGCGACGACGGGUAGCCGGCCUGGGAGGGCGACCGGCCACACUGGGACUGAGACACGGCCCAGACUCCUACGGGAGGCAGCAGUGGGGAAUAUUGGACAAUGGGCGAAAGCCUGAUGCAGCGACGCCGCGUGAGGGAUGACGGCCUUCGGGUUGUAAACCUCUUUCAGCAGGGAAGAAGCGCAAGUGACGGUACCUGCAGAAGAAGCACCGGCUAACUACGUGCCAGCAGCCGCGGUAA
rnacentral:rRNA from 1 species